UACGGAGGGUGCAAGCGUUGCUCGGAAUUACUGGGCGUAAAGGGAAUGUAGGUGGUGACGUAAGUCAGAUGUGAAAGCCCUGGGCUUAACCUGGGAAGUGCAUUUGAUACUGCGUUGCUGGAGUGCGAGAGAGGAAAGCGGAAUUCCAGGUGUAGGGGUGAAAUCCGUAGAUAUCUGGAGGAAUACCGAUGGCGAAGGCAGCUUUCUGGCUCGUAACUGACACUGAGAUUCGAAAGCGUGGGUAGCAAACAGG
rnacentral:rRNA from 1 species